CCCUUUCUUGCAGUGGAGUACAUGGAGAAGAUCCAUGCCCUUGAGAUUGAGCUCAGAGAUCUGAAGAGAAGAGCCACCCGUGAGGACAACCAGGUCGAUGGUGGUGGUGGUGAUGCAUCGGCGGCCAUAUAAGGCGGCACCAUGGGCUCAGCGCUGCCGAGUGGUACCAUGUAGCACCAUGUGGUACCAUGGGUUGAGAGCAAAAUAAAAAAUGAUUGACAAAUGCUUGGUUGCUUUUUAUCAAUUCUAUGCUUUUAUGGGGAUUGGCCCCUCCCACCUGUGAAGACAUGCACCUGUCUUGCCCAAGGACACGACGGCAGUGACUAGGAUGGUGGAAGUGGGGAUCGAACCUGGAGCCAACACCUUAGGAGGAAAAGUGAGCUGAAAGUAAAAAUGUGUAGUUUUUUUAAAAUGACAAUACUAAAAUACUGGAUAAGACUCUUGAACGCAUCAUAAUUAAAUUAUCCCCUCAAUUACCCCCAAAAUGGAUUAACUUGCUGGAAUAAAAAAGACAAUAUAACAUACAUCCAU